CGCAGUAAUUUAACUGUGCUAAGGUAGCAUAAUAAAUUGCCUUUUAAUUAAGGGCUGGAAUGAAGGAUUGGACAAAAGACAAGCUGUCUUUUUAUAAGAAUGUGAAUUUUACUUUUAAGUGAAAAGGCUUAAAUAAUUUAAAGGGACGAUAAGACCCUUUAAAACUUAAUGAGAUUAUUAUAAUUUAUAAAAUAAGGUGUUAAAGGUAUUAUUUUUAUAUUUUGUUUCAUUGGGGCGAUGAAGAUAAAAUAAAUAACUGUUAAAAAUAUAAGAUAAUUAUAAUUAGAUAUAAGGAUCCUUGAAUUUAAAGAUUAAGAGAAAAAGUUACUUAAGGGAUAACAGCGUUAUUUUUUCAAAGAGUUCUUAUCGAAGAAAGUAGUUGCGACCUCGAUGUUGAAUUAAGGUUAAAUUAGGAUGCAGCUU
rnacentral:rRNA from 1 species